rnacentral:pre_miRNA from 1 species
UGCUGCUGGCCAGAGCUCUUUUCACAUUGUGCUACUGUCUGCACCGAUCACUAGCAGUGCAAUGUUAAAAGGGCAUUGGCCGGGUAGUG